CUGCUGACAUUAAGGCAAAACUCCAAAAGGCGAAAAGCUGAUAGUGAUGGAGGAACCACACUAACCCUAUCAUAGGAAUACUGACUUUUGUAAUGACAACUAAUUCCAAAAGUGUCAGGUCUCUGCAAGCAGUGUUUUACCAAGAUUAGACAAACAGAAGCUGAUUGAGGAAUCAUAGUUGAUACAAAAAAGAUUAUGAUGGAGAUGAAAGCCAAAUUAAAGAUGCUCAGGUUCUCAUAGGAGUAUAUUCACAGCAUCAACUAAUUUUUCAUAAUAUUAAACAUCAGAUUGGGAAACAGAUAACAUUUCUGACCGGGAGAAUCUCAACAGAGGCUUGCAUUUCCUUUGAAAUGGAAAGUAUCCACCAUUUAGGAACCAAUUGAAUCUGGCAUGGGAUGAUGUAUCAAAAAGUACAAUGGCUUUUUCUACAAAAUUAUCAUCAGAAAUUAUUGAUUUGAUUUUGAAUUAUAUUGUACCUGCACAAUACAAGUCGAUAAAGUGUUCUGAUCUGUAGUAGAAAAGAGGAAAACAGACGAAACACAGUCAAUAUUACAACAGGAUGUUUUGACUGAAGCUCUUAUUGAUGCAUACUUACUAACUUAAACCUAAAUAGUCAUCCAACCUGGCUUCAGAUCUUAUCACUGUUUGCAUGUAUUCAGACGUAUGUUUUUCUUUAUGGCAGACUUCGCUAAUAUUAUAUGACAAUAAAAUUAUAAGCAAACAGCCUGAAUAAUUAUAUAACCAUAAUUAUGAAAAUGUCUGCACCACAGUUGAACCAUUUAUCUGUAUAUUUGUUUUUAUUCAUGUAGGUAUAAAAUAAAUUUUAUUUCCAUUUGAAA